UCGAACGAUGAAGGGGAGCUUGCUCCCUGGAUUAGUGGCGAACGGGUGAGUAACACGUGAGCAACCUGCCCCUAACUCUGGGAUAACGCUUCGAAAGGAGUGCUAAUACCGGAUAUGAGCCUGGGAGACAUCUUCUGGGUUGGAAAGUUUUUCGGUUAGGGAUGGGCUCGCGGCCUAUCAGCUAGUUGGUGAGGUAAAGGCUCACCAAGGCGACGACGGGUAUCCGGCCUGAGAGGGCGACCGGACACACUGGGACUGAGACACGGCCCAGACUCCUACGGGAGGCAGCAGUGGGGAAUAUUGCGCAAUGGGCGAAAGCCUGACGCAGCGACGCCGCGUGAGGGAUGAAGGUCUUCGGAUUGUAAACCUCUUUCAGCAGGGACGAGGCGAAAGUGACGGUACCUGCAGAAGAAGCACCGGCUAACUACGUGCCAGCAGCCGCGGUAAUACGUAGGGUGCAAGCGUUGUCCGGAUUUAUUGGGCGUAAAGAGCUCGUAGGCGGUUAGACACGUCGGAUGUGAAAACUGGGGGCUCAACCCCCACCCUGCAUUCGAUACGGUCUGACUAGAGUGUGGUAGGGGUAACUGGAA
rnacentral:rRNA from 1 species